GGUUGCAUAGUGUAGUGGUUAUCACUCCAGAUUUUGACUCUAUGUUCAAAAGUUUUCUGGUAACCCCGGUUCGAACCCGGGUGCGACCU
rfam:Setosphaeria turcica Et28A unplaced genomic scaffold SETTTscaffold_19, whole genome shotgun sequence.